AAGGAUCAUUACCGAGUGCG
rnacentral:rRNA from 3 species